rnacentral:rRNA from 1 species
UGCCUAACACAUGCAAGUCGAACGUGAAAGGGGGCAACCCUGAGUAAAGUGGCGUACGGGUGAGUAAUGCGUAGGUAAUCUACCUAAAAGCCUGGAAUAACCUGCCGAAAGGUGGGCUAAUACUGGAUAGAGCGAGGAAUUCGUAAGGGGUUUCUCGGGAAAGAGAGGUCGCAAGAUCCCUCACUUUUUGAUGAGCCUACGUCCUAUCAGCUAGUUGGUAAGGUAAUGGCUUACCAAGGCUAUGACGGGUAGCUGGUUUAAGAGGAUGAUCAGCCACACUGGAACUGAAACACGGUCCAGACUCCUACGGGAGGCAGCAGUGGGGAAUAUUGCGCAAUGGACGAAAGUCUGACGCAGCAACGCCGCGUGAGUGAAGAAGGCCUUCGGGUUGUAAAGCUC